rnacentral:rRNA from 1 species
GACGAACCGUGCGAACGUUGUUCGGAAUCACUGGGCUUAAAGGGCGCGUAGGCGGGCGGGCAAGUCGGAGGUGAAAGCCCCCAGCUCAACUGGGGAAGUGCCCUCGAUACUGCCGGCCUGGAGGGAGGUAGGGGCGUGCGGAACUUCCGGUGGAGCGGUGAAAUGCGUAGAUAUCGGAAGGAACACCGGUGGCGAAGGCGGCACGCUGGGCCUUUCCUGACGCUGAGGCGCGAAAGCCAGGGGAGCGAACGGG